UACGGAGGAUGCAAGCGUUAUCCGGAAUGAUUGGGCGUAAAGCGUCCGCAGGUGGCAUUUCAAGUCUGCGGUCAAAGGUCGAGGCUCAACCUCGAACAGGCCGUGGAAACUGAGAAGCUAGAGUGUGGUAGGGGCAGAGGGAAUUCCCAGUGUAGCGGUGAAAUGCGUAGAGAUUGGGAAGAACACCGGUGGCGAAAGCGCUCUGCUAGGCCAAGACUGACACUGAGGGACGAAAGCUAGGGGAGCGAAUGGG
rnacentral:rRNA from 2 species